rnacentral:lncRNA from 1 species
AGAAAUUUGUAAUUCGAUUAUUUUCCAUAGCUAAUACAUUUUUAUAUAAUAAAUGAGAGUUUACAGAGAAAUAACUUAUACAAACCAGAUGAUAAUUGGGAAUCCUCCUCAAGUGAGCAUAGAGAACAAAUUGAUAUAUUCAGAGAGAGGAAAACAAUAGCUCGAGAGGGAAAUAUACAGUCCCUUUUGCAGAUGCUCAUGCUUCUACUUGUAAGCAAAUCACAACUUUUUUCACAAAAACUUGAAAUAAAUCCCUUCCUCAAACAUAUUGGUCAUUCAUUAC